rnacentral:rRNA from 1 species
UACAGAGGAUGCAAGCGUUAUCCGGAAUGAUUGGGCGUAAAGCGUCUGUAGGUGGCUUUUUAAGUCCGCCGUCAAAUCCCAGGGCUCAACUCUGGACAGGCGGUGGAAACUACCAAGCUGGAGUACGGUAGGGGCAGAGGGAAUUUCCGGUGGAGCGGUGAAAUGCGUAGAGAUCGGAAAGAACACCAGCGGCGAAAGCGGUCUGCUGGGCCGACACUGACACUGAGAGACGAAAGCUAGGGGAGCGAAUGGG